AGUGAACGCUGGCGGUAGGCCUAACACAUGCCAGUCGAACGGCAGCACAGUAAGAGCUUGCUCUUACGGGUGGCGAGUGGCGGACGGGCGAGGAAUACAUCGGAAUCUACUUUUUCGUGGGGGAUAACGUAGGGAAACUUACGCUAAUACCGCAUACGACCUACGGGUGAAAGCAGGGGAUCUUCGGACCUUGCGCGAUUGAAUGAGCCGAUGUCGGAUUAGCUAGUUGGCGGGGUAAAGGGCCACCAAGGCGACGAUCCGUAGCUGGUCUGAGAGGAAGAACAGCCACACUGGAACUGAGACACGGCCCAGACUCCUACGGGAGGCAGCAGUGGGGAAUAGUGGACAAUGGGGGCAAGCCUGAUCCAGCCAUACCGCGUGGGGGAAGAAGGCCUUCGGGUUGUAAAGCGCUUUUGUUGGGAAAGAAAAGCAGCAGGUUAAUACCCCGCUGUUCUGACGGUACCGGAAGAAUAAGCACCGGCUAACUUCGUG
rnacentral:rRNA from 1 species